AUGAUUAUGACGGGGGUGAUGAUGACGGUGGUGAUGAUGAUGAUGACGGAGGAGGAGAUGGGGGAGCUUGUGGUGCUGACGGCGGUGAUGUUGGUUGUGACGGACUUAACGAAGCACCAACUCCUGGAGAUCAACAAGGUGGUCUUCUAGGUUCAAGCUGCUCUUCCUGUCCAUCCUUUAUCUCACGUACCCAAGCCGUCUGCGGGUCUGAUGGAACCACCUAUGGUAAUCUGUGUGAGCUCAGGGCUUCGGCAUGCAAGAAAAAAGACACAACUCUCAAAUAUGCUAGCGAUGGAAACUGUGCAGGGAGUCUGCUCAUGCGACCGCCCCAGAAAUAAUACCGAAUCAAGAAAGAGGACGCUGAUGGCAGCAGAUACUUGAAAUCAUGGAUUUUUUAUAUGGUACU